rnacentral:lncRNA from 1 species
GUGUUGCUAGAAAACAUUCAGCUGGUUGAACCAGUUUAUAUGGUUGGACAAAGACACGAAGUUGAUGAGUGUGUAUUUAUAUACACAUAGAUGUAUAGAUAUACCUCCUUGGAAGCGCCGGUGGUGGUUCCACGUUUGUAGGUGUGGGAAUUACCGUUAAGAAUGUAGGUAAUCUCCAACCCCACAAUGUUAUCUCCGUAAUAGAUUCGAAGUUUGGUAAUGUGGUCGGCUUGUCCCAUAUCCCACGCAUUCCCUCCGUUGCCACCCCAUGGCCCCACCUUCACCAUUCUCCCCUGCGUGCAUCAGAAUAAACACCACAUGUCAUCCAUCCAUCUAUGUUGUAGUAUACGAGCAAGUGUAGUUGAAGAAGUGAGAAAAGGGAUGGAAUUUUGAAGACUAACAACGCCACUCACCAUAUUAGCAGCAACUGAUGGUUACAGCAAGUAAGAAUUGCACUCCCUAUCAAGAAUAUGAGGUGUGAUUACGAAAAAUCUAUCAAGAAUAAUAAAAAAUUUUGACUAUUUUGAAGAUGUUAGAUGACGAACCUAGUAAAUAUUUUGACUCUUUAUGGCAAAUAUACCGAAUCAAAUCUCAUCGUUGCCACUUACAUUUAUUUAGAAAAAGAAAAAAAAAUAUUGUGACAAUGACCCUAUGAAUGAGAAAGUGUUCGCGCAAGAGUUCUGGGUUCGAACAUGAACAUGAGUUACAAUAGCUUGUAGUGACUCUUGAGAGCUCAAAAUGAGAUCAUCUAUGCUCACACUACUCGUUCCCCUACUUUUCUUUUUCGUAAAAUUAUGGCAUGCAUUUUGGCUAAUGACAAGGUUCAAAAACUUGAUAGGUCUGUUCAACAGAUAAGUUAUAUAUAAAUUCAAUGGACAAAACCUUAUUAAGAAUGGUUCAAACUUAACUGUGAUGGUUCCUUUAUUGGAAUAGAUGGUGGUUUAGAAUAUGUUUUGCAUGAUUUACUCACCGUGUUACCUUUAUUGGUGGCAGAUAAAUACAAUAGAAAGACAUGUUCUAUGAAGUGCGACAGCAAUCUGAGAUGGUUUGAAAGCGGCUUCACGAAAUGACAUUCGACAUACAUCAUAAAAUCGAACUUUGAAUUCAUUAUACCACUUCGAUGCAACUUCAUUGUACCAUGGACCCAUAGCACAAUUUUGAGGACUACAGGUUUAUUCAUGUAUAUGAGGAGUACAACCAUGGUGUCCAUUUGGUUGGCCAAUCACUUUAAAGUAACGAAAUCUUUCACAUUUUGAAAGAAGGGAGUGACCCAUGGAAUGUUUUUCAUUUAUAGGUUAGAUGUUCAAGAAUAAAUUAUACUAUACGAAAUCGAUCUUUUUUUACUUUGGACAAAAAAAUUUUCAUUACCCCAAUCAAAUCAUCAAGUAUAUCACAAGAACGAUUAUCAUGAUGAUAUAUUAUUGGUAUGUAUGUGAAGUGACACACGAAUACAAGGUAUGCAAGUACCGAUUAGAUUCAAGUAUCAUUAUAUCGUCAAUUAGCAUUCAAUAACCAAUGGACCCAUAGCAUAUUUCUUGGUUUAUUCAAAGAAUCACAACAAGGAUGACAACAACAAUUGCUAGCACUUAUUUAUCACAACAACCGAGCAAUUACAUUGCAGCAUCCCGAUGUUGAGAAAUAAUUUAUAGAAAGUUAUUUAGAUAGUUGUUAUGUUUUAGAUAGUUAUAGUCAUGUUCUACCUAAUGGCCUAUGAUCUAAAAAUUAUAGGGGUAGUUUGUACACCUAACUCAAUCAUGGGUGACAUGAUAGGGUGAGGUAGUUGCUACUAGGUCAUAUAAAUAUGACCAUAGUUCAUGAAGGUAAUAUGCACUUACGAAUAUCUUUUAAGUGUUCUUCGUCUUACCUCUUACUUAAUACUAUUUCGAUUUCCUUGAUGAAAAGCAUUCUCUUUUAAUUACAUCGUAGUAUUCUAUUUUUAUCAUCCUUGCUCCUCCAUCCCUAACAUUCAUGGUCUUAAAGUUAUGUUUCAAUCUGAACUAGGCAUUAUGACUUUCAAUGGUAAUUCUAUGUCUCUAACUCUUUAUUCUCAUCUUUUUGGACAAACACUAUAAAUUUUGAAGUAUCAAGAUGAAGACUCUAUUCAAGUCUCAAGAUCUUUGAGAAUAUGAACAAAUGCUUUACACCCAAAGACUCUCAAAUGAUUAUAAGAUAUAUAUUUUCCUUUCUAUACUUUCUUUGGAACAUCACCUUUCAGAUGAACUGAUGGAGAAAGAUUUAUCAGGUCAAUUGUAGUUCUCGUAGCCUCCCCCCAAAAUGACUUCGGUAAUUUGGCAUGGGAAAGCAUACACCUAAUCCUUUCUUCAAUGGUUCUGUUCAUCCUUUCUGCCACACCGUUCUGCUGAAGAGUUUUUGAAACUGUUUUUUCAAGCCUGAUAUCAUGAAACCUACAAUAAUUCUCAAAAGGACCCCUGUACUCGCCACCAUUAUCUGAUCGAACACAUUUUAACUUGUUGUUAGUUUCUUUUUCAACACUGACAUGAAACUCCUUGAAAACAUCGAGUAUCUGAUCUUUAGAUUUCAAAGCAAAAGCUCACACUUUUUUAGAAUGGUCAUCAAUAAAAGUAACAAAAUAAAGAGCACCUCCAAGAGUUCUAGUUUGCAUAGUACAGACAUUAGUAUGAAACAAAUCAAUAACAUCUAAUUUUCUAGAUGAUGGAUAUGUAUGAAAGGCAACUCUAUGUGUUUUUUCAACUAAGCAAUGAUCACAAGAUUUAAGAGAUGUACCUUGCAACUCUAGUAAAAACUGCUUUCUAGCAAGAGUUUGAAGUCAUUUCUCGCUGAUAUGACCAAGCCUCUUGUGCCAAAGAUCUAUACUUUCACCUUUUUGAAUUGCAUUAAUCUCUCCUUUGUUUAGCUCAGCUUCCAUGACAUAAAAAGAGUUAAGCUUCUUUCCUCUUGCCAUAAUUAGAGAACCUUUAGUGAGUUUCCAUUUGCUUUCACCAAAAUAAUGUGCAAAGCCCUCAUCAUCAAGUUUGUCUGUAGAUAUCAAGUUAAGACAAAUAUCUGGAACAUGCCUUAUAUCUUUGAGUAUCAAUUUGCUCUCAAUACUGGUCUCCAAGCAAAUAUCUCCAAUACCCACAAUCUUAAAUAUACCACUGUUUCCCAUUCUGACAUUACCAAAAUCACCAGCAGUGUAAGUUCUGAAUCUGAAAAAAUCACCAUGAAAAGUAACAUGAAAUGAAGCACUAGAAUCAAUUACCUAGUUACUUACCUGAGCUACAAGACUGACAUAACCGUCAUCACAAACAAUAGUGAUAUUAUCUUCAGUAGCAACUGUAUUGGUCUCUUUCUCAUUUUUCUUCCAUUCAUUCUGUUUUGGCUUCCGAAACCUACACUCUUUCUUCAUGUGACCUGGCAUGUUACAAUGAAAAUAUUUGAUGUAUUUUCUAGACUUGGAUCUUCCUCUAUAACCAUGUGGAUUUCUGCUAUGACUUCUUCCACGUCUUUCUUGUUUUUCAGUAACAAAUGCACCAGAAGAAGAUUUAUCCUGUUUUCCUUCUGGCAUCUUCAUUUAGCAAACUAUCUUUAACCAUAUCUAUAGUUAGAGUCCCCUCUGGCGUGGAGUUACAAAUUGUCAACACAAACGUUUCCCAACUUUCUGGUAAAGAGCUGAGAAGUAGUAAUCUUUACAUCUCAUCAUCUAUAUUCAUUUUCAUAGCAACAAGCUUGUUUACAAGACUCUGAAAUAGACUUAUGUGCUCAACAAUAUUACCAUCAUCUUUAUACUUCAAAUUUACAAGUCUUUUGAGGAGAGAAAUUCUAUUUUCCAUUGUCUUUUUCGCAAAGAGAUUUUCUAACCUUUGCCAAACAACAUCAGCUCUGGUUUCAUCAAAAAUAUUCUCAUGCAAGUUUAUAUCCAUCCAUCUUCUAAUAUAUGCAAUAACUUUUCUAUGUUGAACUUCUUAUUCAUCAUCAUUCAUAGUAGAAGGUUUAUCUUUAACCUUGAUGGGCUUAUACAAAUCUUUGCAAUAAAGUAAAUCUUCAAUCAUAUGUCUCCAAGUGGAAUAAUUUGAUGAGUUCAAUUUAAUCAUACCAUAUGACUAUUCCAUUUCAAUCACAUAAGAAAAACUAGCACCAAAUAACCUGUUGCUCUGAUAUCACUUGUUGGGAAAAACCUGUUAAAGCGAAAUAAUUCUUUUCCCUCUUUGUGUAUCAAAAUGGGUUCCUCAUCAAAAUAUAAACUUAAUAUCAAAAUAUAAAUAUCAACCAGCACAGCAUAAACAAUAUAGCAAUAAAUCAAUCAUACAAUGAGACCAAAUAAUUAACGUGGAAAACCAAAUGUGGGAAAAAUCACGGGACCGUAGUCCACCUUAAACUUCCACUAUCAAUAGUAAUGAUAAUAGGUUUACAGUAAAUCUUCUUCUAGAAUAACUAGAGGAUCAUAAUAACAUCAAGAAUAUAGAUCUUGGCUCAAGAAUAGCAUAUCAUCGUCACAUAGGAUUGAUCUCAUCAAAAGAGAAUUAUAGGUCUCAUAAAAUGGAUAUAGCAGGAAAGUACCUUAGAGAGGGUAAACUGUAGAUCAACACCGUUAGGAUUGUAGAGCUUGCUGCAAGGAUUCUUUGCAUCAAAAUUUGGGCCCAAACACAACAUUUGGCUACUGAUCGUCAAGCAGAAAACCAAAAAUCCUAAUCUUUCUCUCUCUCUGCGUGGCCUCGCUUCUGCACGCAUUCGCUCUCUCGUUUUUCUCUCUCUGCGUGCCGCCGCUGCAGCACGCGUUCGCUCGCUCCUCGCUGCUGUCUAUCUCUCUCUUUCUCAUUCACUGUCCUAUAUCUCUUUUGUCUUUUAAUUAAUGAUUUAGGCUCAUGACCCAAAUUGUCCAAACCCACAUAGGCUGGACCCAACAGAAUGCAACAACGUUUUGCAAUGGUCCAAGAAUCAUGAUCGAUCAAAAACUAAAGACGCUAUUUUGCUAGCAUUUCAUCGUCAUAUGUUGAGAAAGGUUAAGGAAUACGUGGUUUGCUUUCUCCCAUCAUCAUGUGCCAAGAGAUCUUAUGGAAUACGUAGUUCACUUCAUCUCUUUGUUGUAUUACUCAUCUAGUAGCUUACUAAUUCUCCUAAUUAUUGCCAGAUAAGAGCCACAGAUCCCAUUAUGAAAAGCACGCCAAGUAAUCGUAAGAUAUCAAAGUGGAUUCGAAAACAUUUCAUUAUUUAUUCAAAGCAACACCGAUUGAGAAGGAUGACAACGAUGAUGGCAAUCAUGGCAAGCACCAUAAAUUGUUAUCGUUGCUUAUUUAUUACACCAUUCGAUAGAUAGGAACACGAGCCAGUGCCAGUGCAUACACUUAGUUUGGCAAUGAGCAGUGAAUUCCAAUAGCGUCAAUGGCUGUACCAGCUCGCCCAAAGAAGCCCAGAAUCCUACCCCAAUCCUCUAAGGUAAGGGCAAAAGAACUGCCAAUCUUGUUGCCUACAUUUAUGGAUGCACCCUUGUUAGUCUCAAGAGUAAGCAACAUCACAAUUGCAUGUCCCUGAUAAUUGGAUAAUGCAUGAAAAUAUCCGGAGAUAGAAGUGAAGUACUCGUCCUCUUCAAGGAUGAUCUACAAAAAGGAUCAAUGAUUUGUUCAGGAACAAACAAUGGGAAAAAGAAAACUUAUUGAAACACAUCUGAUAUUGCAAUAUAUUUUCAAGAGAAAUUGGUUUGACUAACAAACGUGUUGCUUGAAAACAUUGCUCUUGUUGAAUCACUUUAUAUGGUCGGACAAAGACACAAAGUUGAUAAGUGUGUGUAUAUAUAUAUAUAUACAUAGAUGUGCAGAUAUACCUCCUUGAAAGCGCCGAUGGUGGUUCCACGUUUGUCGGUGUGGGUGUUACCGUUAAGAAUCUAGGUAGUUUCCAAACCCACAAUGUUAUCUCCAUAAUAGAUUUUAAGUUUGAUAAUGUAGUCGGGAUGUCCCAUAUCCCACACAUUCCCUCCGUUGCCACCCCAUGGCUUGGCCCCACCUUCAUCAUUGUUCCCAGCGUGCAUCAAAAUAAGUUUUAUGGAUGAAAAAAUUUCUAUAAGAAUUGGACUUGAAACAAAAAGGAUAUACUGUUUACUGUGACAGUCAGAGUAUCAUUCAUCUCUUCAAGAAUUCAACACAUUAUUCUAGAUCUAAACAUAUUGAUGUAAGAUAUCAUUGAAUUCGUGAUGUGCUUGAGAUGAAAGAAUUACAAUUGGAAAAGAUGCAUACCAAUGAGAAUGGAUUAAAUAUGUUGACAAAAUCUUUGUCUAAAGAAAAGCUUGAAGCACGUAAGUAAAGAGCGGGCUUAGUACAACCCACUAUAUGAGAUGAAGGGGGAGAAUUAUUGGGUCCAACCCAUAUGAGUUUGAUCAAUUGAGUCUUUGAGCCAAAAUCAACAAUUAAAAAGAAAAAAAAGAGGCACAUGGUUGAGGGCAAAGAAGGGGAGGUGUGCAGCGUGGCAACGCACAGAAAAGAAUAAAAGAAAGAUGAGAGAGAAAAUUAUAUUUUGGUAAUAAGUUGAUAUUUUGAUGAGAAAAGAAUUAUUUUGCUAUAACAUAAUAUUUUAUAACCCACCAUUCUAGUUUGGAUAAGUAUGAGCUGAUGGAUACGAGGAAGAAUUGCACCCACAACCACCACCGUCCUAGAAUCUAACGGAAACGUGAAACAUGCAUAUUCCGUGCUCUUCCUUCUUUGUUCUUACAUGAAUAAAGUGUCAUUAAUUGUUUGCUAGCAACGAGAUGUGAGGACCACUGUCUCCUUCCCUUGGCUGAGACGACGAGCUCCAUCUACAUCUUGUCCUUGUGGAUAACCUCCAAUUAUAAGGAAACAUGGAUUUGGUAGUCGGCCGCCUCGUCUCCUUCGUUCCGAUGAGAAAGGAGGAGCUCCGUUUUCCACGUCCUGCCUGCUUAAGUGCUUAGAGCCUCUAACUUCUUCAUCUCGUACUUGUCGGGUAAUCAACAAUGCGAGGUGUGAUCAAGAAAACUAUCUAUCAAGAAUAAUCAAAUAACUUUGAUUAUUUAUUAUUGACACCUGUAAUAUUGUUUUGAACAAAAAAUGCUAAUCAUUUUUUAUACUAGAAUUUUCAGUUAUCAAAGGAACAUGGAUCCUAUUAUUAAAUAGUAACCUCCUGACUUAAUAUUUGGGUUCGCUCAAAUGUGAACGAUAAUCAUCAUUAUUAAAGUUCAUUUAAAAAAAAAAAAAUCAUAUUAGGCCUCUAAAGAAAAAUCAAUCCUACCAGAAGCAAGUUUUGAAAUGAAGUUAUAGAUGACAUAUGUAGAGAUACAGAGAGUUACGUGCUCAUGCAUAUCAAACCUGACAUAUUUUGCACAGGUUGGAUGAUGAUGAAGCAAAUAAAUAUUUUGACGCUUUAUAGUAAGUAAGAUACUGAAUCAAAUCCCGUCGUCGCCAGUUACAUUUGUUCGUAUUUGAGCACAAAUUACGUUAGCUUGUAGUGGCUCCAAAAGAACUCAAAAUGAAAUCCUUUAUGCUCACACUACACGUUCCCCUACUUUUCUUUUCCAUAAAAUCAUGGCAUGCAUUUUGACUAAUGACAAGGUUCAUAAACUCGAUAGGCCAGAUAAGUGAUAAAUAAAUUCAAAGGAUAAAACCUUAUUAAGGAUGGUUCAAACUAGACUGGGAUGGUUGUUUUAAGGAAUAGAUGGUGGCUUAGGAUAUAUUUUGCAUGAUUUGCUGGUCAUGUUAUCUUUAUUGGUGGUUGGUAAAUACAAUAAAGAGACAUUAUGUCCUAUGAAGCACGCGACGGCGAUCCAGGAGGGUUUGAAAGCAGCUUCACGAAAUGACAUUCGACAUAUCGUCAUAGAAUCAAAUUUGGAAUUCAUCAUACAACUGCAAUACAACUUCAUUGUACCAUGGACACUACGUCACUGACAUUUAAUAUUUGUGAGACAGUUUUGAGGACUACGAGUUUAUACAUGUAUACAAGGAGGAGCGUAACUAGGUGGCCAUUUGGUUGGCCAAUCACUCUAGAGUAACAAAAUCUUUCUCAUUUUGAAAAAAGGGAGUGACCCAUGGAAUGUUUUGGGCUCAUCGAUUGGGUAUCCGAGAAUAAAUUUGUUCUGGAAUUUCUUAGAAUUUUUUUUUUUUACUUUAUACAAAAAAGAGUUGCAUUACCCCAAUCAAAUCUUCAAGCAUAUUGUUCGUAUGUACGUGAAGUGACAUAUACGAAUGCCAACCACAGAUUGGGUUCAACUAUCAUUAUAUCGUCAAUUAGCAUUCAAUAACCAGUGGACCCAUAACAUAUUUCUUGCUUUAUUCAAAGACAUACGACAAGGACGACAACAAUAAUUGCUGCCACUUAUUUAUCAGCAUAACCAAGCAGAUACAUUGCAGCAUCCCGCGAGGACUAAGGCACACGCACCAAGGCAUGACAUGUACUUAUUUAGGGAUAGUGCAGUAAACUCCGAUUGCCUCGAUGGCAUCGAUGGUAGAACCUUCACGUCCGAAGAAGCCUAGAAUCUUACCCUCAUCCUCUAGAUUUAGGGAGAAAUAACUACCAAUUUUGUUGGUGUCGGAACUCACUGUAUUGCCCUUGUUGGUCUCAAGGGUAAGUUGUGUUAUGAAAACGUCUGUCGUCCACAUCGUCUUGAAAUAUCCAGAGAUGAAAGUGAAGUAUUCGUCCUCCUCUAGAGUAAUCUAUACAAGCAAUCAAAGAUGUAGUUAGACAUAACCCACCAAAAAAUAGUUAGGGAAUUCGCUAGUAUCCUAGGAAUAAUUAAUUGUAAACGUUGAUCUAUAAAUACUAAACGGAUGUUUUCAGCUUCGACAGCACCUCUUUGUACUGGGGUGCAUCGCCUCCGACGUGGAUGGUCUUCUUCUUGCCGUCGACGGUGAAGGUGAAGUCAAACGCGAAUACGGCAUCGUUGUAAUGAAUUUUGACAUUGCUAAUGUGAUCCGCCUGUCCCAUAUCCCAGGUCUUGCCGCCGUUGCCACCCCAUGGGCCUUGCUCGAGCACGCCCGCCUGCAACCGCGACAACACCACCACCAUAUUAAUACCAUCUAUAGCAACAAAAGAUAUAUAUACAGGCAGGCAGGCAAGCAUGCAAGCAUGGCCUCCCCAAAUUAACUCGCAAGAAAAUCUAUGACGAUGAUAAGAAAUGGAAUCAAGCAUCGCACCAUUAUCCGACUUGUAUGAACUACUUCCGCGGAAGAUAUUAGUAUGUAUUGCAGGAAAUGGAUGCGCUUGAAGAAGAAGAGCAACGAGUGGGGGUACUUAUAGCCCUGCAGCCCUGAGUUUGGAUAAGUAUUAGGAGGCAGUGGCCCUUUUGCUUCGAUGCCUGCCAACAGAUCUCGCGCGUAGGUAAGCAAACAAACGUGAGUUUCGUGCGCGAGAACUGAUGGAUACACACAUUAACGCACCCUCUCUCCCGCAGUACAUCAAGACAUUUUGUAACAAAAGCUAAAAUGAGAUCCUUCCUUCUCCCAUGCAUGAAACGUGAAACACCUUGUGUAGCAAAGAUAACGUCGUCUACUAUGAAAAGUGAAACAUGCAGAAACAUGCGAAGAGAGCAGUCGCAUCGGACAGACAACCUUAUCUCUUUCGAUUGGCUGAGAGGGCGACUUGGAACCUCCACAUGCUGUGCAUCUCGAGACUCAAACCUCGGCUUCUCCUUGCCGUUUUGCAUAUGGACAUGGCACUUCCGCAAACAAUUGAGACUCCGCGUCCCACAGAUCGAGAUGAGCAGAUUAUGUUGUGCGAGGUAGGAUACAGUAACAUGGUUGGAUAUACUAAUUUUGCAUUACAUGAGAUAUGCAUGCAUAUCCCACCAACUUUACUUUUUCCCAGUACAGCUUGCAGAGGAAUUCAACUUCGAAACUUAAAUCUUCCAAGCCGACCAUGUGGGUGUCCUUUACAAUGCGGCGAUUAAAUAUCGACCAAGCAAUUUUUUAUUUUCUAAUUUUUUGAGACUUGUGAUAUAAUAAUUUAAGCAGCUGGUAUUAAAGGUGCAAACUAUAAAAACAUAAUGAACAUCUCAGGAUAUAUAUAAUUUAUUUUAAAAAAUAAAGAUUAAUUUGUUAUGUAGCCAAUAGCGAGUUGGGAAAAGCAUUUGUGGUACACGAGAGGAACACAAAUUCUUCAUCUUAUAAACCACUCUUUCUUAACAUGUUCAUUUGAAACAUCAUCAUACUCGGACACAUUAUGAUCGUUCUAUUCAUGUCCCGAAGAAGUAUCGUCUACGAUGAUGGGAAGAAAUAAACUCAAAUCUAUAGGGAUUCACGGAGGGGCUUUGUCUUUUGAAUGUUCCAAAAGUUACGCAUGGUUGAUAUUUGUGGUUAAAUUUUAUAUCAUAUUUUUAUAAAAUAUAAAUUUUUGAGAAGAAAUUAACUGACUACAAGGUAUAAUUGAUAAAAAUGUUUAAUCAGCAACCAAAAUUUGCCACAAGGUAUGGAGAUAUAUAUGAGAGAGAGAGAGAGAGAGAGAGAGAGAGAGAGAGAGAGAGAGAGAGAGAGAGAAAACAAUGGAUCAGGUGGUUUGGAUUCUCAUAUCUACUUGAUCUACUUAAUUUUAUGUUGUAUUACUUAUUUCUUGAGUGAAAUCACGGAGUUGAUCUUGGAAUACGUUAGGAUACGUAGGUAGUGAUUGAAUUAAGAUUUUGUCACAACGAUGCUGUUUAUAUAUGAGAAAAAAAGAAGAAAAAAAAAAAGGGGGCAUCAGAGUUGGCCUCCGAUUUCGAAUUUAGAUAGUGAAUCGUACAGAUGCUUAACUCAACAUGGUUCCUCGGAGAAUGCAACAACGUUUUGCAAUGGUCCAAGAAUCAUGAUCGAUAAACUACUAACGACACUAUUUUGCUAGCGUUUCAUCGUCAUAUGCUGAGAAAGGUUAAGGAAUACGUGGUUCGCUUCCUCCCAUCGUCAUGUGCCAAGAGAUCUUACGGAAUACGUAGUUCACUUCAUCUCUUCGUUGUAUUACUCAUUGAGAAGCUUACUAAUUCUCCUAAUUAUUGCCAGAUAGGAGCCACGGAUUCCAUCAUGAGAAGCACGCCAAGUAAUCGUAAGAUAUCAAAGUGGAUUCGAAAACAUUUCAUUAUUUAUUCAAAGCAACACCGAUUGAGAAGGAUAACAACGAUGAUGACAAUCAUGGCAAGCACCAUAAAUUGUUAUCGUUGCUUAUUUAUUACACCAUUCGAUAGAUAGGAACACGAGCCAGUGCCAGUGCAUACACUUAGUUUGGCAAUGAGCAGCGGAUUCCAAUAGCGUCAAUGGCUGUACCCGCUCGCCCAAAGAAGCCCAGAAUCUUACUCCCCUCCUCUAAAGUAAGGGCGAAUGAACUGCCAAUCUUGUUGCCUACACUUAUGGAUGCACCCUUGUUAGUAUCAAGAGUAAGCAACAUCACAAUUGCAUGUCCCUGAUAAUUGGAUAAUGCAUGAAAAUAUCCGGAGAUAGAAGUGAAGUACUCGUCCUCCUCGAGGAUGAUCUACAAAAAGGAUCAUGGAUUUGAUGAGAAACAAACAAUGGGAAAAACAAAACUAAUUGAAACACAUCUGAUAGUGUAAUAUAUUUUCAAGAGAAAUUGGUUUGACUAACUAACGUGUUGCUUCAAAACAUUAAUCUGGUCGAACCACUUUAUAUGGUUGGACAAAGACACGAAGUUGAUAAGUGUGUGUGUGUGUGUGUGUGUGUAUAUAUAUAUAUAUAUAUAUAUAUAUAUAUAUAUAUAUAUAUAUAUAUAUAUAUAUAUAGAUGUAUAGAUAUACCUCCUUGGAAGCGCCAUUGGUGGUUCCACGUUUGUCGGUGUGGGAAUUACCGUUAAGAAUGUAGGUAGUUUCCAACCCCACAAUGUUAUCUCCAUAAUAGAUUUUAAGUUUGGUAAUGUGGUCGGGAUGUCCCAUAUCCCACAGAUCCCCUCCGUUGCCACCCC